UGCUCCUCCCGGGAACCUGUUUAAGAAGCAGAAUUAAGAAUAAAUGCCCGGAUGCCGGCGGAGGCACUAAGCCCUAAAGUUUUAAAAGGCCUUCCUGAGCUCCCAUCUGCUUGACCAGUCUGCAAGAAAACAAGAUGCUUGUGUAGUUUGGAGUCAAUCUGUGACAAUAUGAACGAAUGACAGCAAUGAUUGUGGCCUGUGAAAAUAGUAUUCGGGUCUAGUUAAGAAUGCUACAUUGGGGCUGGCCGAGUGGCU